CUGUAGUCCACUGGACCGGUCU
rnacentral:miRNA from 1 species